GGUGAGGCGUGGCUUAGGGUGCGGUAGGGUCCGGGGUCCCAGGCGCCGGAUGCCGUCGUGGGUCCCGCAGUCCUGGGCUCCGAGGGGGCAGCAGGCGGCGCACCUCCUCGCCCUCUCCUCUUGGGGCUCAGGCAGCGCCCCAGCCCCCGCCUUCAGGGAAGCGUCUCCUCGACGACGGGAAAGGCUGCGGGAAUCACCAAGAACCUCCUGAUCCCCCUGCCCGCCCGCGGGCCCCAGGAGAGCGAUCUGAGCUCGUGCGAGUGGAAACGGCUCAGGCCGUCCGGCGCCGGCCAGUUUCUGUCACUGCUGCCCCUGACCACGGACGUGUCCUCCGCGGCUUUCGGUCUGAAGUACAGAAAACAGAAAAAGGAAACCCCAGCCCAUGUUUGGGCCCCGCCGGCAGGACACAGGACCCUGCUCCUUACAAGGCAUCCAGUGAUGUAGCAAGUGGGGGCGACAGGAAGAGCGCCCCCCCGCCCCGUUCUUACAUCCUUGAAUUUGGAACAUGGCCUUGAAAGUCGUCUUCCUAGUUUGUACGAACAUUUAAUGAAAGCAUAAGAAACCGAAAAUGGUUAUUAAGAUGUUGUUUAAAUUUAGUAUAGACCUCGCUCAUCUGCACAUUUCGCAGACAGUGCAAAUAUAAAUCUUGGCAAAGUCUAUUCAAACUGUAAAUUUCUUACCACAGAAAAUGAACAGAAAAGAAAAGCUGCCUGUGCUAAGAGCCCUGGCUCUUCACUUGGCCCGCGGAUAUCCGGAGGGAGGGUCACUAAGCACAGGGCAAAAGCUUGGCAUCUGUCUUCAUAUUCAGUCUUCUUUUCUUCCUACACUUGGGGCCCGACUCCCACUCAGUUCUGCAGGUAGACACGGUGAUCAUCAGAGGAGUUUGCUGUUGGCCCCAUGUUUGCCUAAUCUUCUGCCUCCCCUCUCCAGAUUGAAGACCCCCAGGUAAGGGCAACUGAGCUGUUUUCAGGGCAUACAGGGACAUCAUAAUCACCAGAUUGUCACCCACCAGUGUCUCUACUUCCUGAUCCAGACCACAUUAACACCAUCUAGAAGUCUCCAGUUUUCAGGAGAUAGGUAAAACUCAGCAGGCCUGCGGGACAAAGAGGAUCCCAGCAACAAGGAGUGCCAGUCACAGAAUAUGGGUGGGACUCACAGUAGCUGCACCUGAGGAAAGCAAAACCCCAUCUGUGCAUUCACCCACUUGGCAGAUGAACAACAAGCUGUGUGCAGGAGCUCCAAAGCAGCAACAGAAGUAGCCCAAUUCAGUACAAUGGCACAUGAAAAACCAGAUUUGUAAAUUUUGGAGGAGGUCAAAAGUGAGUCAUCAGAUUACUCAUGCAUGCAUAAUGAAGAUGAUGACUUUGAUGUUGGCCAUGUGAGCCAAAGUUCCUGUGACAGUGAAAUGAAGCAAGAAUUGACUGAUGCAGACCUAGAAUGAAGACCUCCUUGAUACAGAUGACAAAGAAAACAGUAAUGAUUGGGACUGGAACUCAUAAGAAAUUUACAGCAGAGGAAAAACAAAAUGUUUCUUUCCAGGGAACUAUGCAAAAAAAUUGCAGAGCAUACUGUUGAGCUGACAGGUGAACAGGCAGGCACACCAUCACGAAGACCUACUGUGACAACAGGAAAACCAAAAGGAUGUCAACUGUGCCCUACAGGAAAAGACAGGAAAAUAGAACAUGCAUGCUAUCUGUAUAAACAAUACUUGUGUAUGGAGCAUACAGGUCUCAUGUGAGAGGACUGCCUUGGAUGUGAAAGUGGAAAAGAGAUUAUUUCUGUGGGAGACUUUUGUUUGUAUUUAGACUGUAGUUCACAUAGGUUUUUAUUUCUGAUGUUAUCUUUUAGUUUUGUUUUUUUUUGUACCAGGGAUUAAACUCAAGACCUUGCACUUGCAAGGCAGGCAGCAGCACCACUGAGCUAAAUCCCCAGCCCCUGAUAUUUUAGGUUUUGUAAGCAAGUACACAGCUGAUGUGAAAAUGUUGAUGUCUAUUCUAAGCACUCAUUACAUAUUUGAUAUUUUAUUUUAUUGAUAUCUUAUUUUCCUGCUAAGUACACAUUGUACAAUAUAGUAGGUAGCUCCUGACAAACCAGGAGGAGAGGUGACAAGAAUGGCUUACCACAUAGAAAAGGAAAGCUCAGCAACUGUGCUGUCAGUGUACGUGAGAUAUGUACAUGGAACACGCAGUUGUCAUGUGUGAAGACUGUCUUGAGUGUGACAAUUGAAGCAAAGAUUUAUUUUUGUUUAGGGUUCUAUUGGUAUUUUUUUCUUUGUAUA